UUUCCGUAGGUGAACCUGCGGAAGGAUCAUUAUUGUAUAACCGAGGUGCGAGGGCUGUCGCUGACCCGAAAGGUCGUGCACGCCCGAGUGCCCUCACACACAUCCAUCUCACCCCUGUGUGCACCACCGCGUGGGUCCCCCUUUGGCUUGUUCGGAGGGGGGCUUACGUUUUCACACAAACUCUGUAUGCAGUGUAGAAUGUAUUUUUUGUUUUUGCGAUCACGCAAUCAAUACAACUUUCAACAACGGAUCUCUUGGCUCUC
rnacentral:misc_RNA from 1 species